GGUUCGAUGGUGUAGUUGGUUAUCACUUCUGUCUAACAUUUAUGUUCACAGGCGGUCCUCGGUUCGAACCCGGGUCGAAUCA